UACGUAGGGUGCAAGCGUUGUCCGGAAUUAUUGGGCGUAAAGAGCUCGUAGGCGGUUUGUUGCGUCGGCUGUGAAAUCCCGAGGCUCAACCUCGGGUCUGCAGUCGAUACGAGCAAACUAGAGUGUUGCAGGGGAGACUGGAACUUCUGGUGAAGCGGUGAAAUGCGUAGAUAUCAGAAGGAACGCCGGUGGCGAAAGCGACUCUCUGGCUCGUAUCUGGCGCUGAGGUGCGAAAGCGUGGGGAGCAAACAGG
rnacentral:rRNA from 1 species